CUAACACAUGCAAGUCGAGCGGUAGCACAGAGAGCUUGCUCUCGGGUGACGAGCGGCGGACGGGUGAGUAAUGUCUGGGAAACUGCCUGAUGGAGGGGGAUAACUACUGGAAACGGUAGCUAAUACCGCAUAACGUCGCAAGACCAAAGUGGGGGACCUUCGGGCCUCAUGCCAUCAGAUGUGCCCAGAUGGGAUUAGCUAGUAGGUGGGGUAACGGCUCACCUAGGCGACGAUCCCUAGCUGGUCUGAGAGGAUGACCAGCCACACUGGAACUGAGACACGGUCCAGACUCCUACGGGAGGCAGCAGUGGGGAAUAUUGCACAAUGGGCGCAAGCCUGAUGCAGCCAUGCCGCGUGUGUGAAGAAGGCCUUCGGGUUGUAAAGCACUUUCAGCGGGGAGGAAGGCGGUGAGGUUAAUAACCUUGUCGAUUGACGUUACCCGCAGAAGAAGCACCGGCUAACUCCGUGCCAGCAGCCGCGGUAAUACGGAGGGUGCAAGCGUUAAUCGGAAUUACUGGGCGUAAAGCGCACGCAGGCGGUCUGUCAAGUCGGAUGUGAAAUCCCCGGGCUCAACCUGGGAACUGCAUUCGAAACUGGCAGGCUAGAGUCUUGUAGAGGGGGGUAGAAUUCCAGGUGUAGCGGUGAAAUGCGUAGAGAUCUGGAGGAAUACCGGUGGCGAAGGCGGCCCCCUGGACAAAGACUGACGCUCAGGUGCGAAAGCGUGGGGAGCAAACAGGAUUAGAUACCCUGGUAGUCCACGCUGUAAACGAUGUCGAUUUGGAGGUUGUGCCCUUGAGGCGUGGCUUCCGGAGCUAACGCGUUAAAUCGACCGCCUGGGGAGUACGGCCGCAAGGUUAAAACUCAAAUGAAUUGACGGGGGCCCGCACAAGCGGUGGAGCAUGUGGUUUAAUUCGAUGCAACGCGAAGAACCUUACCUGGUCUUGACAUCCACAGAACUUUCCAGAGAUGGAUUGGUGCCUUCGGGAACUGUGAGACAGUGCUGCAUGGCUGUCGUCAGCUCGUGUUGUGAAAUGUUGGGUAAGUCCCGCACGAGCGCAACCUUAUCCUUUGUUGCCAGCGGUUAGGCCGGGAACUCAAAGGAGACUGCCAGUGAUAAACUGGAGGAAGGUGGGGAUGACGUCAAGUCAUCAUGGCCCUUACGACCAGGGCUACACACGUGCUACAAUGGCAUAUACAAAGAGAAGCGACCUCGCGAGAGCAAGCGGACCUCAUAAAGUAUGUCGUAGUCCGGAUUGGAGUCUGCAACUCGACUCCAUGAAGUCGGAAUCGCUAGUAAUCGUAGAUCAGAAUGCUACGGUGAAUACGUUCCCGGGCCUUGUACACACCGCCCGUCACACCAUGGGAGUGGGUUGCAAAAGAAGUAGGUAGCUUAACCUUCGGGAGGGCGCUUACCACUUUGUGAUUCAUGACUGGGGUGAAGUCGUA
rnacentral:rRNA from 1 species